UGCAGUCGAACGGAGAUUCAGCAAUGGAUCUUAGUGGCGAACGGGUGAGUAACGCGUAGGCAAUCUGCCUUCUAGAUGGGGACAACAUCCCGAAAGGGGUGCUAAUACCGAAUGUUGUAAUUGGUUCGCAUGGACUAGCUACUAAAGGUGGCCUCUGAAUAUGCUACCGCUAGAAGAUGAGCCUGCGUCUGAUUAGCUAGUUGGAGGGGUAACGGCCCACCAAGGCUUCGAUCAGUAGCCGGUCUGAGAGGAUGAACGGCCACACUGGGACUGAGACACGGCCCAGACUCCUACGGGAGGCAGCAGUGGGGAAUCUUCCGCAAUGGACGAAAGUCUGACGGAGCAACGCCGCGUGAGUGAAGAAGGUUUUCGGAUCGUAAAGCUCUUUCGUUAGGGACGAACGUGCUCUUUGUGAAUAAUGAGGAGUAAUGACGGUACCUAAAUAAGAAGCCACGGCUAACUACGUGCCAGCAGCCGCGGUAAUACGUAGGUGGCAAGCGUUGUCCGGAAUUAUUG
rnacentral:rRNA from 1 species